GACGAACGCUGGCGGCGCGCUUAACACAUGCAAGUCGAGCGAUGAAAUUUCGACAGAUCCCUUCGGGGUGAAGAUGAAAUGGAUUAGCGGCGGACGGGUGAGUAACACGUGAGUAACCUGCCUUUAACAUUGGGAUAGCCUCGGGAAACUGGGAUUAAUACCAAAUGACACUAACUGAUCACAUGAUCAAUUAGUCAAAGAAAUUCGGUCAAAGAUGGACUCGCGGCUGAUUAGCUAGUUGGUGAGGUAACGGUCCACCAAGGCGACGAUCAGUAGCCGGCCUGAGAGGGUGAUCGGCCACAUUGGAACUGAGACACGGUCCAAACUCCUACGGGAGGCAGCAGUGGGGAAUAUUGCACAAUGGGGGAAACCCUGAUGCAGCGACGCCGCGUGAGCGAAGAAGGCCUUCGGGUCGUAAAGCUCUUUUAUGAGGGAAGAUAAUGACGGUACCUCAAGAAAAAGCCCCGGCUAACUACGUG
rnacentral:rRNA from 1 species